ensembl:lncRNA
CCGCCCGCCCGCCAGGCUCAGGAGACAGCUCUUCUCUUAGCUGUCCUACCCUCUGGAAAAGAAGAACAGGGACUAAAAACUUGAAGCUGGACAUGAGCGCCUGAGGAAACCACCAUUCUGUGAUCCGUCUGUAGGUUCUCCUGCAGGUAUGUUAAAAAAAUAUAGUGUCAAGCCGAUAGAAUUAGAUCAUAUGUUAGACCAUUUCUGUAAGAGCUAGAUCAUUUUCCUUUAAAUGCAUCCAUUUUCCUUUCUGGUUACCUUUGGGUUCUCAUUACCCUUCCGAAGGAAAUGAUUGUUUUGAAUUGGAGAUAUGGGGAAGUAUGUCCCUGCCUUGCCUGCUCCUCCUUUGAGGAGAAUGCAGGUUUGGACGCUGGGGUGGAAUUCGAAACCAACCCGAAACUCGAAAAGGAGGGCUGAACUGUUCCCAGAGGGAACAGACAUGGAAUUGGGGUCGGGACAAAUAGUAUGUCUGCAGGCUGACUAGUGGACCCGCACCCACCGGCCUGCUGCAGAAGGAAAUGCACAAAGGCCUGUCUUCUGACUUCCCAUUUCCCCCCUGGGGAAACCCUGCCUCAGGCAAUCUGAGUCAGGCCGCCUAACCUGAAGAGUUUUGCCCAAGGGUGCAUGAAGUAGGGAGGUGACCAGAACCGACUUCCUAACCUUUUAGCUCUGCCUUCGAGGAUGCUAUCGGAGAAGAACUUUGCGCAGUUCCCGCAGGCGGUCGACCACCAGAGGCAAGGAGUUCUAGGUAUCGGUGGAGUGUCUGGGCCUUGUCACUUUUUGCAGGUCUAUGUCUGCUUUAUUGUCCUGUGAAAUUUGAGAGACCCCAUUUUCAUUGCAACAGGUUUCGGAGCACCAGGAAUUAUCAGGGAGAACCAUUGUAAGUACCUUUCCUAUUCUUCCGAGUAACGAAAAGGCAGUGCUAACACUUGGAGGUGAUGGGCGAAAGUCAGCGCCAGCGGAGAAGGGAGGGUUAAGGACUGGUGCUGCCUCCCCAGGCCAAAACGGACUCACUUGGGGAGGGGGUGGAAGCUUCAGGUUUACCGUCUAGAAAGUAUUUCUGGGGCCUAGGUCACAGUCACCUGCACUAGUAAACGCACGGCAGGGGAUCACCCUCAUCUUCGGGACCUCCCUGGACCUUACAGGCCUUUCCCAGGCUUCUUUUGGCUCGCAC